CUAUCCUAUUAGCAUAGGACCUCUUCUGGCUUCUCUUUCGUAUUAACCAUAUGAACUUCCUUAUUCCAUGAAUCUUACAAGAAGUCAAGGUCAUGUCAAUAAUAGUAACUGCUGCCACUGAUGAUGUGUUCUCCAUAUGCCAGGCAUCUUGAUAAGUGCUAUGCUCACAUUUUACCUUUGAUACCCUCCCUAAAAAGAAGAGAGAAAUGGACAAGAAUUUAAAGGUGCAGGGACAUGAAAGAUGGCGAGGAAAGAGAAGAAACUUAAAAAGAAAUCAUGUCACUUCUAAAGCAAACAUGGCUUUGGCAAGUCAUUUCCCUCUCUAAGCCUCUGUACAUGUGCAGUUCUGUCAAAUGGGGUAAUAACAUCUCUUUUGCUGACAUGGGGUGCUGCACAUGGGAGCCACCAGCCAGGGUUAGUCUGCAGGGGCACUUAGUGAGUAUUUACUCCUAAAGAAUAGCCAACAGCUCUGCUGGUGAGUUUUGGCCAUCGUGGCAGUCAAAAACAACAUAAUAGCAUAACACCUACUGUUUCCUGAAUACCUACUCUGGGCUAAUCCUCACAGCAACCUUUGAGGGAGGUGUCAUUACCCAUAUUUGCAGAGGAAGAAAGUGAUAGGUUUCCAACAGGAGCAAGAAGAGAUCUGCCUCACGGGGAUUAAGGCAAUACUGUUCUCUACCAGCUAGGGAGGUGGCUACAGGAUGUGUGAGGAGAUUACAUACCUGCCCCUGCUUACCUGUCUGUGUGUCAAGUUUAAGCCCCUGGAGGGUUUGUGUAACACUGUUUAGGAAUCUUGAAAAAUAGAGACCCUAUUUGUGGGAUUAUAGGGUGUGGAGACAUUCUCGACUUUCACACUGAAGCUUCGGAUGGCUGCCAACCCCACUCUGUCCUGCCAGUUGCUGAGUCCUGAUUUGCACAGAAAUUAUUUCUUCCAAUGUAUUAAAAAUGAGUCACAUCCCAAGAGUCAUAUCUCAUACCCCUUAUCUUUAGAGCACAUUCUGCCAUUGACCAGUCUGGACUCAAAAUAAUGUUUCCAAGUGUAGUUGGGAAAAUGAUGGACUGCAUUAAAGACUCUGCUCUUCUGGGUGCUUAAUGUGUAACCUUAAGCAGAUCAUUACCCCUCUCUGAGCCUCAUUUUCUUAAUCUGUUACCAAAACACAACAACCUACAGCCACAGCAGUUGUUCAGGAUUAGGUAAAAGUACUUUCUGAAAUGUAUAUUGUGGCACCAAUUCAAGGGUUUAUCACUGUCAAAUCUUAUGGAAUUAUUUGACUCUUUGUAUA